AUGACUUCCGCCAGCAGCAUCAACGCCUAAAGCACCCAACAAUAUUUAACCCGUCAGCAACCUCGAAAACUUUUAGGCUUCUCUUAGAUUGCUGAGACAGAGGCUAUUCCACUUCACUAGACGUCCCAGUCGAGCUUCAGCCAUCUGGCUCGAACUCCCUGGCAAGUCGCGACAACGGACACCACUUCACUCUCUGUAACAAACUUCAUGUGACCCCA
rnacentral:lncRNA from 1 species